AUUGAACGCUGGCGGCAGGCCUAACACAUGCAAGUCGAGCGGAGCGGCGGACGGGUGAGUAAUGUCUGGGAAACUGCCUGAUGGAGGGGGAUAACGUCCGGAAACGGGCGCUAAUCCCGCAUACUAUCAGAUAAGCCUAGUCCGGAUGAGCUAGUUGGUGGGGUAAAGGCUUACAAAGUCGACUAUCCGUAACUGGUCUGAGAGGAUGAUCAGUCACAUUGGAACUGAGACACGGUCCAGACUCCUACGGGAGGCAGCAGUGGGGAAUAUUGGACAAUGGGCGAAAGGCUGAUCCAGCCAUGCCGCGUGUGUGAAGAAGGUCUUCGGAUUGUAAAGCACUUUAAGUUGGGAGGCGUUACCAACAGAAUAAGCACCGGCUAACUUCGUGCCAGCAGCCGCGGUAAUAC
rnacentral:rRNA from 1 species